ensembl:snRNA U1 U1 spliceosomal RNA
AUACUUACCUGGCAAGGGAGACACCAUGAUCAAGAAGGUGGUUCACCCAUGGCGAGGCUCAGCCAUUGCACUCCGGCUGUGCUGACCUAUGCGAAUUCCCCAAAUGUGGGAAUCUCGAUUGCAUAAUUUCUGGUAGUGGGGGACUGCGUUCGCGCUCUCCCCUG